GGCUGCUGUGCAGGAGGAAGAGGAUGGGGAGGGCUGUUAAGGGUGUGCAGUGCUAGGGCUUUUUUACCACUCUGAGGAGAAAGGUCUCCAUUACUCAUCACUGCUCUAAUUCCAUUUGCGAGCUGUGGGUGUCAACCAGCGGUGGGCCAGCGAGACCUGGGAAGGAUUCCUGGCAGGAGGAGCCUGUGUGUGCUGGCUGGGAUUGAUUUCAUGGUGCAGAAGCCACUCAGCAGCAGCCCCUGCCUGUCCUCCUGCCGUGCACAGCACUGUGGAAAAUGCACUUACUCGCAUAUUAGACCGAUCCUCUGAAGUUCAAGCCUUCCAGUGCCAGGGAAGCAGCAGGUGUGUCCAUCACUGCAGCACGGCCUGGGAGGCUCCUGAGGCACUGGGAGCAGAUGCCAGACAGAGAUUGGGGUGCUCCUUGCUGGUCCCUGUCCUGCUGCAGCCCAGAGCAACGAUCCAUUUCCAGCUCUUAUGCCCUGAAGGAGAUGACUCAAAGCAGCCAAGGAAGUCACAGGGCUGGAAAUGUGCCUGCAGCCAGGGAAGACACCUCAGUGUGCUGGAGAGCUAUUUCCAUGCUGACCACUCGUGAAAUGAGUUAUCCCAGGAAAAAUGCAGGUUCUCUCCCCCUGUGGGCUGCUGAAGCUUUGAUAUGCUCCUUCUGCAAGUGUGAGAGCCAACACAGAAUCAGCACCAUCUUC